UUGACUAUAAAAGGAAAGAGAUGGACUUGUGAGCUCAUUUCACAAGCCCUAGAAUGUGGGAGUGGGAGAAAAAGAAGAUCAAGAAGAAGGUGAAGAAGAACGAAGAGGAGGAAGGUCCCGAAUACUCCCCCCUUGUUGUCGCACAUCUGUAGGUGCUCUGUAAUGGAGGAAGAUUGUUGCUCUGUAAUGGAGAAAGACAGUUUUUUUCCAGCAAGUGCUUUAUAAUGGAAGAAGAUAAAGACGAAGAAAAGGGACAUAACCCUAGUUUUUCACAUUUCAUCAGGUGGGUUUUCCAAGCGCCCAAGCUUAAAUGGGUCGAGCGAACCACACGAUUCGGGGGAGACUUCUCAGCCAUAAGAUGUCUUUCGGACACGUGCCGCAAGGAGUUGCUUCACUGCACCUCACUGGAGAUCUCCUUUCCUGUAGAGGAUGUUUUUCCAUUAGAUGACCUUACUGAAUUGUCCUUGAGGAUUUUUAAGGGACCUUCAAGUGGAAUAUUUAAGAUAAGUUUUUACUCCAAUGAUCCUUGUAAUUAGAAUAAAGACAAUCACCUUCCGAUGAGGACUAAUAGGGCACUUUUCGGCCACUCUUUUAUGAGAAUUUACUCAUCAAGUCAGCGGUCAAAGUGAAUGGUGGUCUGAAUUCUUUUGGAGUAUUUUAAAUUUAUAUAACUCUUGAAUGACA